rnacentral:rRNA from 1 species
GAUGAACGCUGGCGGCGUGCUUAACACAUGCAAGUCGAACGAAGCACCUGGAUUUGAUUCUUCGGAUGAAGAUCCUUGUGACUGAGUGGCGGACGGGUGAGUAACGCGUGGGUAACCUGCCUCAUACAGGGGGAUAACAGUUAGAAAUGACUGCUAAUACCGCAUAAGACCACAAAGCCGCAUGGCUUAGUGGGAAAAACUCCGGUGGUAUGAGAUGGACCCGCGUCUGAUUAGGUAGUUGGUGGGGUAACGGCCUACCAAGCCGACGAUCAGUAGCCGACCUGAGAGGGUGACCGGCCACAUUGGGACUGAGACACGGCCCAAACUCCUACGGGAGGCAGCAGUGGGGAAUAUUGCACAAUGGGGGAAACCCUGAUGCAGCGACGCCGCGUGAGCGAAGAAGUAUUUCGGUAUGUAAAGCUCUAUCAGCAGGGAAGAAAAUGACGGUACCUGACUAAGAAGCACCGGCUAAAUACGUGCCAGCAGCCGCGGUAAUACGUAUGGUGCAAGCGUUAUCCGGAUUUACUGGGUGUAAAGGGAGCGUAGACGGCUGUGUAAGUCUGAAGUGAAAGCCCGGGGCUCAACCCCGGGACUGCUUUGGAAACUAUGCAGCUAGAGUGUCGGAGGGGUAAGUGGAAUUCCCAGUGUAGCGGUGAAAUGCGUAGAUAUUGGGAGGAACACCAGUGGCGAAGGCGGCUUACUGGACGAUGACUGACGUUGAGGCUCGAAAGCGUGGGGAGCAAACAGGAUUAGAUACCCUGGUAGUCCACGCCGUAAACGAUGACUACUAGGUGUCGGGGAGCAAAGCUCUUCGGUGCCGCAGCAAACGCAAUAAGUAGUCCACCUGGGGAGUACGUUCGCAAGAAUGAAACUCAAAGGAAUUGACGGGGACCCGCACAAGCGGUGGAGCAUGUGGUUUAAUUCGAAGCAACGCGAAGAACCUUACCUGCUCUUGACAUCCCGGUGACCGGCAUGUAAUGAUGCCUUUUCUUCGGAACACCGGUGACAGGUGGUGCAUGGUUGUCGUCAGCUCGUGUCGUGAGAUGUUGGGUUAAGUCCCGCAACGAGCGCAACCCUUAUCUUCAGUAGCCAGCAUUUCGGGUGGGCACUCUGGAGAGACUGCCAGGGAUAACCUGGAGGAAGGUGGGGAUGACGUCAAAUCAUCAUGCCCCUUAUGAGCAGGGCUACACACGUGCUACAAUGGCGUAAACAAAGGGAAGCAAACCUGCGAGGGUAAGCAAAUCUCAAAAAUAACGUCUCAGUUCGGAUUGUAGUCUGCAACUCGACUACAUGAAGCUGGAAUCGCUAGUAAUCGCGAAUCAGCAUGUCGCGGUGAAUACGUUCCCGGGUCU